rnacentral:lncRNA from 1 species
GCUCGGCCGUCCGGGCCGUCGUUGCUCCGAACCGCCACUGCCUCCGCCAGAACCAAGCUCUUCCCCCCUUGGCCGUGGGUUUCGCCGCGACCGCCGCCGUCUUCGCCGUGCCGCUGUUGGUGCCGUGAGACUCUUGUCUUCGUCGCCGUCGCGCCACCGUUGCCGUGUGCUUACCCUUGACUUAUUGACUACGAAUUUAUUCUCUUAUUUUUGAUACAGGAACCGUGGAAAACAAGUGUAUUUGGUUUUUCCUGUUCGGAUUCCGAUUUGGAGAUAAUGGGGGAGGUGAAAAGGGGGAAGAAGGAAUCGGUUCAGCUCCAUCUCUCUUUGGCUCUUCCGCGGAAGAUUAUCAUUCCUCGCGAAACGAUAACCACCCAAUCGCGUCGAGAACGAGGCCGAUCAUCUCCUUGUAGAUCUGGGUCGAUCUUCUCUUUCGUGCCCGAAUCGUGUUCUGCAGGUGGGGAAGCGCGUCUCUGAGCCAUGGGGAGGGGAAAGUUCAAGGGCAAGCCCACGGGUCGCCGCCAGUUCUUGACUCCCGACGAGAUGAGUAAGCCGAGAGCGCAAAGAUUUGAUUUUUCUUGCGAAUUUCGACAACCCUCUUUCGUUCGGCAUCGCUUGUGAUUGUUGGGAAUAGCCCAUUCGUUGAGCGUCGGUUGGUUGUUUGUUUGGAUGUGGUCGGGCUGAAUUUGGGUGUGGUUCUGUUUUGUUGAAUCUGUUUGGUUAUCUGAGAUCGCCAUGUACAAAUAUGCGAAGAUGUGAAGUUGUACCAGAGAGAUAAGUGAUAAGAAGACAGGAAAAAACAAUGGACAAUUGAUUUUGUGCAUGCUAUUCCCUGUUUUAUGUGUUGCUUCAUGAAUGAAGCUUCAAUUAGUUCAUAACCUUGCGGGUAUCAAGAGUUUUCUGAACAGUGAUUGAUCAUGUUGUGGCGUUGUUUUAAUUCUGUGAAAAUGAAAAAAAAAAAAAGAACCUGUCGGAACCGGAACCGACCCUAGAACCUGUAAGAGGGUAGGUUCCAGGUUCUUGAUUCUGACGGGUAGGUUCCAGGUUCCAAAAAUUGAGGAACCUGUACCCGAGGGUAGGUUCCAGGUUCCGGACGGAACCGAACCGGAACCGGGAACCGCUCACCC